GUUUAUAGGCAGAGGUCACUACAGAGUCAACCAUCGUGGUUUCUGACAAGCCUUUUCCAGCUCUGCAGUCCAGAGAUCCUGAACACGAUCAUCUUCUCUAUGCUGAAUGGCCAUCCGCAAAAUCUCCAACCUAAGAGACGGUUUCAUCUACUUCCAGGCAAAACUGACAAUGUGAAAAUACCGGAGUCACUGAGCAAAUUCACUCCAGCCUGUGCUGACUGAGACUUACAUCUUACAAUUAAGCAGUGUUUUGUCCUGCCUUACAAAUCAGUAGUUUCCUUAUUGCUUAACAUAAAUACAUCUUAUCAAAAGGAAAAACAAAAUCUUCAUAAAAUAAUAAAACUAUAUAAUGCUACUUGAUACUGCUCUAUCACAAUUUGAGAAUAUCAAACAUGAAUUGAGUAAUCAUCAUUUAUGGGAAAGGAGAAGUGAUUUGAAAUAGUGAUAUUGCCUGGCCCUUCAAUUUAUAAAGUCACAAUGUAAGAAGAAAUGGCGAAAUACAGAAGGAAAUUGAGUUACAGACUAACCCAGGAGGCUGACAAGUAAAAUCCAGAGCGUUCUGGGUUCUGUGCUGCUUCCAUGUCCUCAAGGGAGCACAUCACUCUCACUGUAGUAGACACUACUAUACAGUACCCAUUCUCCCCUUCUUUCUUACUUUAGGGGAAGCAGUUGUGUUCAGGUUAAACACACACCACCACCACCAUUUUCUGGCUUUACUUGUAACUCCAGAUGUCCAUGUGACACAGUUGCGAUUUAAGAUGUAAGCGGUGUGUGAUAGGGUGGGUUCCUGGAAAACGUUGUUUAAAGGGAGUAAAUGUGGCCAGCCCGUGCCUCUUUCCCUUCAUCCUUUUCCUCCUUUCCUGAAGACACCGUGUUGGGAAAUAGAGGAGCCAUCUUACAAUCAUGAGGAAGAGUAGCUGAACUAAGGGUGUCAGGGCAAAAGAAAAAAGCCCUGUGUGUUUCAGCAGGUGUCAUUCUGAUCAUUUGAGCCCAACACAGUCUCUAAUUGACACACUCAUCUCUGUAAAUGAGGAACCUCCUGGAAACUGACCAGAGUCACACACGAUACGUAAAAGAGCCAUGAUUCAAGUCCACGUCUAUUUUCCAGGCGCCCAUUCUUUUUCUUCUUUGUCCCUACUGUUUGCCUCUGCUUCCUCAGUUGAGACCUAGAACUUAUGGUGUUUUCUAGUAGCUCACAACUCCUGGUAAAAGUUCCUGAAAAUGAUUCAUUUCACAAUACUAAAUGACAGACUUAACCUCCUGUUUGAUCUUGUCAUGCCAAAGUGAGUUCAAAGGUAUUCUUUGAACUAGUCCUCAUUGAAACAUUGAAGGAAAUUCAGAGCAAGCUUCCUAAAGAACAGGGCAUUAGUACUGGGCUGUGAAGGUUUCAGGGAUUUCGACCACUGAGGUCAUAGAAGGAAAGGCAUUUCAAGCAAAGAGGACACUUUGAGUGAAAGCAUAAAGAAGGUCAACCCCAGUUUGGCAGGAGCAAAGGAUACGUAAAGAGCUAUACUCACUUUUUUAAAGUUUUUAUGCACUAAAUAUUUCCAAAAAUGAUUCUGGAGGUGACAUACAGUAAACAAUGGAAAUUCAAUAAAACCGCAAAACCAAAAUAAAAAUGGGAAUUAUUUAUAGUGCUGAAUAAUAAACCUGGUAGAAGAUACUAGUACCAGACAACCUAAACUAAGGAAAUCUUCAGCAGCUGAGUGCAAAACUGAAUUUAACUUUCCGGCAGCAAAAGCAAAAAAACAAGAAUGUAAUGUGUUGUAUUGUAGCAUCAAUAAAUGGCAGAAACAGUUUUCCAAGAAUUGAAAGCACUUACUGAGUAUCAAUUACACUGUAGGUUAUUUUUAAUCUAUGUGCAGAACUGCAAGCCUGGGAAUUUUGUUCAAUGCAGUGAGGCUAAAUAGACAGGAAAGGUUGAAAACUACUGUACUAGGAGAUGGAGGUACAAAGAGGAAUAAGACACAGAACCUGCCUUCUAGAAAUUUCUAAUCCUAGAUGAGGGAGAUGAAGAAAUGAAGGCUUAUUGGGUACAAACUAUGUAAUGGGCAUCUUUAAUCUCAUUAAGUCUUAGUAAAUCCUCAACACAUCGCCUCAAGAGUAGCUGUUAUUUAUUAAUUGUCCCACUGGCAGAUAGGAAAACUAAGUUGUUGAGAGGUAGAGUGCAUGGCCAAUGGCACAAAGCUAGUAAGAGAUGGAAUCAAAAAUUAAUCUCAGAACCAUUUGAUGCCUUAAAUCACAUGCUCUUGACCCAGAAGUUUCUAAGUGUAAGAAUAGCAAAUGAAUCUUUUUCUUUUCAGGUGGGGGUACACACUCUUGUCCUAGUGUCUUCUCCCAAGUCCCUUUCCAUGCGGGGCGAUCCCCAGAGACCCCAGCUUGUGCAAUUUAGAUCCACAGGGCCAAAUGAUGUCUCUCUCCAAAUUUAGAUUUUCCUGGCUCUGAUUGCUGAGGUUAUCCCAUGCAGAACAUCACAGUCAGAGGAUUAUAGAUAACACUAUAAUGGGUUCCUCUUCAGCAUCACUGUAAUCAUCAGUGUAGAUUCCUUCUUUACAUGGUCAUUCUUCCACUGACACGCCUAAAAGCCAAGGACGCACUGCUAAAUUGUAAAGCUUUCAAAGCACUUAUUUGGAGAUCUCAGGUUAUGUAAGGUUUAGAUAGUCUGGUGCAAACUGGAGGAAAGUUAGGCAUAUAAUUAGCAUGUUCAAGAAUCUGUAUUAAUUUUUCAUUGAAUACGUAUGUUUUCAGGAUAUGGAAAGUGAAAGUGUUGAUAUUAGAAUCACUAAGAAUAAGCUGAAGGUAUCCUAGAGCUGAUUUAAAGUAGUUCCAAGCUAAAGAUUCUAGGCUUGUAGGAAGGAAGGCUGACAUUUAGGAGUAAAAAUCAGAGAAUCUGAUUUGUUUUCUAGCUAUAUCACAGGUUUGCAUGAUUGAGCAUGACUCAAGUGGUUUUCCAAAUGUCUGAGUUAUAAUACAUGAAUAAGAUGAACUGGGCCUGGAGAUUUUGAGGCUAGGAGUUACACAUUAUGUCCCUCCAUCAUCAAAGACUCCUGGAAUACAGUGUGGUUUUAGAUUAAUUCGUGUAUUCCCAGGCUCUACUCUGAUCCUGGGUCUUCAUAUAAGAAGGAAUCAUAACACAGGUCCCUUAUUUUUAAAAUCCUUUUGGAGAUUCACAUAGCCCUAGACAGGAAUUGGGAGGAUUUUUUGUUUGUUUGUUUUUUGGGGUUUUUUUUCCAGUUUUUUUUAAUUGGGAGUUUUAAAAACCUGCACAAAGGGAACAAGGCAUUCUUCUUAGUCUCAUUCUGAUAGAAGAAGAGUCAAGUAUUAAUCAAGUAUGAUCAGAAGUUCAGCUGCACAAACCAAAAUAAAGAAUCACAAAUCCUUGACUAGUAUCGGAUUCAAGCUUGUGGCACAGAGUCCAGGAGAGUAGGCUCUGGAAACCCCCACCUAUUUGCUGCUCAUGAAGGGCAGCCAAAUACCCAGGGAUUGUGUUUGUCAGAAACCAUGGUCUUGAGUUCUGAGAUCUCCUGGUGGUUUAGCUUAUAGAUCUCCUGAAUUACUAAGACUGUUCAUUUUCUAUCUGGGGACUCUCAGUCUUUUUAUACAUUAAGUAUCUCUAUUAGGAGAAAUGACCUGGUACGAUGGUAUAUUAGGAGGAAGGUUUCACCUGAGACAGAGAGACUAUGUAGGCAGCUAUUGCAAGGGUUCAAAGGAAAAUAAUAAGGAACCGAAUUAGGGUUGGGAAAUAAAAACAAGGAUGAGAAAGAGAUAAAAUAGAGUUAUCAGUGGGUUUGGCAUAAGAAAGGAGCUUGGUGGAGAGAAAUUCUUAAGAAAUCACAGGACUCAUAAUACCUAUACCAAUUGUGGAAAAUUGUUAAAAUUCAACAGAAUAAAAGACUUUAUGGAC
rnacentral:lncRNA from 1 species